rnacentral:rRNA from 1 species
GGAAGUAAAAGUCGUAACAGGGUCUCCGUUGGUGAACCAGCGGAGGGAUCAUUACCGAGUUUACAACUCCCAAACCCAAUGUGAACGUUACCAAACUGUUGCCUCGGCGGGAUCUCUGCCCCGGGUGCGUCGCAGCCCCGGACCAAGGCGCCCGCCGGAGGACCAACCAAAACUCUUAUUGUAUACCCCCUCGCGGGUUUUUUUAUAAUCUGAGCCUUCUCGGCGCCUCUCGUAGGCGUUUCGAAAAUGAAUCAAAACUUUCAACAACGGAUCUCUUGGUUCUGGCAUCGAUGAAGAACGCAGCGAAAUGCGAUAAGUAAUGUGAAUUGCAGAAUUCAGUGAAUCAUCGAAUCUUUGAACGCACAUUGCGCCCGCCAGUAUUCUGGCGGGCAUGCCUGUCCGAGCGUCAUUUCAACCCUCGAACCCCUCCGGGGGGUCGGCGUUGGGGAUCGGCCCUGCCUUGGCGGUGGCCGUCUCCGAAAUACAGUGGCGGUCUCGCCGCAGCCUCUCCUGCGCAGUAGUUUGCACACUCGCAUCGGGAGCGCGGCGCGUCCACAGCCGUUAAACACCCAACUUCUGAAAUGUUGACCUCGGAUCAGGUAGGAAUACCCGCUGAACUUAAGCAUAUCAAUAAGCGGAGGA